rnacentral:rRNA from 1 species
UACGUAGGGGCCCAGCGUUGUCCGGAUUUACUGGGCGUAAAGGGCGCGCAGGCGGUCGUUCAAGUCGAGUGUGAAAGCCCCCGGCUCAACUGGGGAGGGUCAUUCGAUACUGAUCGACUGGAAGGCAGGAGAGGGAAGCGGAAUUCCCGGUGUAGUGGUGAAAUGCGUAGAUAUCGGGAGGAACACCAGUGGCGAAAGCGGCUUCCUGGUCCAGCACCGACAUUCAGGCACGAAAGCGUGGGGAGCAAACAGG